rnacentral:rRNA from 1 species
CAGUAGCCGCGGUAAUACGUAGGGUGCAAGCGUUAAUCGGAAUUACUGGGCGUAAAGCGUGCGCAGGCGGUUAUAUAAGACAGAUGUGAAAUCCCCGGGCUCAACCUGGGAACUGCAUUUGUGACUGUAUAGCUAGAGUACGGCAGAGGGGGAUGGAAUUCCGCGUGUAGCAGCGAAAUGCGUAGAUAUGCGGAGGAACACCGAUGGCGAAGGCAAUCCCCUGGGCCUGUACUGACGCUCAUGCACGAAAGCGUGGGGAGCAAACAGGAUUAGAUACCCCAGUAGUCCCUGUCUCUUAUAC